UUUUGGCGGCGCAAUCGGAAGAGUUUGUAUCAAAAUCGGAUCUCGAAUCGAAUCGAUACAUAUGAGCAUGGAUUCUCCUUGAUAGCGAAUAGAUUAUUAUGGUCAAGUGUUUAACUCUCACCUAUUUCGUGUGCUGUUUGUGGAAUUCGGAUGUAUUCCAAAUGAAUUUUGUAGUUUGAUAGAAGUAUCUGGCUCAAAAUCUGUAGCUGAUUUUAAUGUCGUAUCUUCUAUUUUUUUUUUUUGCUUUUGCACAGUGAUCGGUCAAGGUAUAAACGCUGGAGAUGUGAUGCUGGGAUCCAUACCUGCAAUGGUCUCAUGAUGCCAUACUAAGAAGAACCUCACUGGAAUCAAAGGUUUAUCAAAGGCCAAAAUUGAAAAAAAUCUGUGAAGCUGUUGUUGAGAAAGUUGUGGUCUGGGAAAACUCAGUUAGCACAUACCCUUUGUGUCACUACGCAUCUACCAACAAACAUGAAAGGAGGAAAUUGCAAGCGUUUGUUUCAGGGCAUAGUCUAUAGCUUAAUGGAGAAAAAAGAAAGAAGCAGCUCAACAGUUUGAGAUAUAUUGGAGUCUUGUACCUGAAGAAUUCCCACAAAAGGGAUUUCUCGACGAUGUUGCAUUGGCUGCUCAAGCCAAAUCCCGAGAAUGACUUCAAAACACAUUCAAAGCUAAAUUUGCUCAGGGGAAUUUAACCAUGAAUAGAUAAUUUCGAAUAUCCAGGUAUGAAAUGUUAUCCUGUGACGGGGGUUAAAGACAAAAACCGCACUGGAGCAGGCGGAGUCAGUGGGUGCAUUGUGGAACCUAGAAGAAUGACACUUUGGGGGUUUGCAGUCAUGUUGUGAUUUCUCUCAAGUGCAGAAUCAGACAUGAAAGGUUUAACAUCUUUGUCAUGUGUAUAAAAUUUCAAAUUAGGUACUCUUUUUCAUAUGAACCCACUAGAUGUCUUGUUUAAAAAAAUAAGAACCCCAAUUAUAUACUACCAUUCCAGGGGAUAAUUUUAAUUAAGAUUCUAAAAGUUCUUAUUUUA